GGUCGUCCCCCCCCCCAGUUGAACUACGCCUCCGGCCGAGGCCCAGCCUUAAAGGACGGGCUCUUUUAGUAACUGGGAGCUGCCUUGCAAACGGGUGGUGGUGCAGGGGAAGAAAGGUGAUGUGGGUUUGCUAUUCGUGAAGAAUGGCUUUCGUGGUUUAUGUCUCAAAGGAAUCCCAAUGGUGGAUCUUUUGCCUACCUGCACUUCAGGCAGAAUGAAGACCACACCAGAAGAGUGUGGAGGCCAGCAGAGCUGGUGUGGGCUGGCUGGAGGAAGACUUCUCCCCCAUCCAUGCCCCAUAACCCCCUAUUGUGGGGUUAGCUUGCAGGGUACAUGUGCCUAGAAUUGCACUGGUUGAUUCCUUGGAAAAGCUGAAGCUCAUUACAUUAGAUGGUUUAAAAACAGUGAGCAAAAGAGAACAGAACUUGAUAAAGUAGGGCUGAUAAUGUAGUAGAAAGAGUUGUGUAGAGGAAUAUUCUGAAAUAUUAUCGUAAACAGUUCAUGUAAACUUUAACAGCAAUGAAUAAGAAAUUGAAAUAAUGUAUGUAUAAAAUUAUCCCCAGUUAUUUACCUUUGUCAAUAAAAGAAACAAGUCCA